AGGGGGGAACGAAGGGUGUUGGGGAAUGAUGGAAGGGGGUCUGAUGAGUUUUUAUAAAGUAAAACAGUCUAUUAAUUCAUUUUUUCUUAUUAGAGUACUCGACUAAUCAUAAAAAUAAUCAGUACAAUACUCGAUUGCUAAAAAAAUCGUUUACUGCAGCCCUAGUCUCAACAACAUACUGACUGGGUGAAGCCUCUGCUUU